CACGGGGGGAGCAAGCGUUGUUCGGAAUCACUGGGCGUAAAGGGCGUGUAGGCGGUCAGGUAAGUGGGAUGUGAAAUGCCCCGGCUCACCCGGGGAUCUGCAUUCCAAACUGCUUGGCUUGAGUAUGGGAGAGGAUGAGGGAAUUCCUGGUGUAGCGGUGAAAUGCGUAGAUAUCGGAAGGAACAUCAGUGGCGAAAGCGACUUCCUGGACCAAUACUGACGCUCAUGUGCGAAAGCGUGGGGAGCAAGCAGG
rnacentral:rRNA from 1 species